rnacentral:lncRNA from 1 species
UGACACUCUCCCCUCCCGCAGACUUCUUUCUUUCACGCAUCAAUCCCUCAUUCCAUUUCUCCAAAUUAACCUGCAUCCUAACUCCCAACAAAUUAAACGUAGCUACUGAUUCAUAAAUAAGUUUUCAACAAAAGUUUUAAAUACCCAAUCAAUUUCGACCUUCAAUUUUCAGAUCGAAAAACCCAGCUUCUUCCACAGUGUUGGACAAUAAAGAAUGAUGGAACACGAACUCAAAUUUCAAGAGUUGUGAUGGGUUUCGAAGACUUCUUUCCAAAGUUGUGUAAGGUCGAUUGCAGUUGAUUCGAUGGGCUUUGGUUCGAAAUUUUUGAAGAAGAAGAUAACCGGAUCUGUUUGAAGAAGAUCUAAUUUUUGGGUCCGUUCAACGUUUAUUUGAAGAAGAUGGGUCUACUACAAAAUAGACUCUUAAUUUACGAUUUACGAGGACUCAGGAGAAAUUCCCCUCACGUUUCAACUCUUGUUCCCAAACUUCUUUACCUUCAUUUCAUUCUUACCAGUUUAAUACUAAGUUAUCCAUUAGCACUUCAUGUAAGCAGGGAUAAAACUGGACUAUAUCAUUCUUUUCAUUUUUAAAGGCAGAUAUGUU